CGUAAGAGAACAGACCUGUAAUAUAUGGGCUAUAUAUACCCAACACACCUUAUUUAAUUUCAUCCUUCUAUCUUGUAUCUUAUUUCUUGGUUGCACAUAUAUCCAAAGCCAUGGCUUCUUCUUCUUCAUCCAAAUCCAAAGCUGUUUUAACUUUAAUUCUCUGCAUUCUUCUUAUCAUCGCUCUCUCCUUUCCCCAGCCAGCACAAGGGAAAUUUUUACGAGGAUUACUUGGGCGAGGAGGGUAUAACCGGGAGGAGUCCAGUGCUGACGCACCAUAAGAAUUAGUAUCUACUCAGCUUAGUACUUAAAUAAAAUGGAUUAAGCACUGCUUAAUCAUCUGAUGUGAUAAUAAUGGGAUUGUUCCCUUGAACUGGACAUGGAUGCUUAUUUACUUUAUAGUAUAAUGGAAAUUAAUUAUUAAAUUUU